UGCAUAGUAUAUAUCUAGUAUACUUCGGUGUGGACCCAUUCUGAGUUUCUGACAGAUACAGCAAAAGCAUAUAGCACAUGAAUUAGUUUAACCCUUUGGAAAAAUAUACUUUGAAUAUUCCUGUGGGACUCAUACAUGUAAAAAAACAUGGAUGGUGAGAAAUAAAAGAAAAUAAGUAGAUAUAUACCUUAUGGCCUAAUAUUGUUUACUCUUAUGCUUGUGCCUCCAAUAAUUGAUUCCUCUUUUAACUUCAUAAAAUAGCACCCUCCAAAUGAAGCAACAUCGUUAACUAUACCAAAAACAUAAGUUGUUGCCAUAACGAAAGAACUUUCCAACAACAUCAUAGUUGAAGGAAAAUAUCAUUAUCGCCAUAAACGGAAAAAAUGUCUCAAGAAAAAUCUAGGGUUUUGGAAGCAAUUUUGAUUACCAACUUAAAUCGAUGGAAUGGACACAAUGAAAUUAAGCAGAUCUAUUUCGUUUACAUAAAACAACAUAGCAUUAAAAUAACAUAUCAAUCCUUAAAUCAUAUAUGAUAUAUUUUAUAAAACAAAAAUAAACAAGUAAAUGAGUUACCUUGUCUCUUACCACAACUACCAAUCCAGCACACUCCUCUUUCUCCACCACCACACCAGCUCAUAUUAACCUGAAACUACACAACCUAAGCCUGUCUCCAUUGCCUACUUUCUCAUCUCGGCCAUUUUUAGUGUUUUCUAUAAUUUUACACUAUCUCUCCCACCUGCUUCAUCUUCAUGCAUGCAACCCUUUUUUGUAGAUCUACAUCUGAAAAAGCAAGGCAUAUUAUGAAUGAACAAUUCUCUUAUUACAAUUGCAUUUAGAAACUCAAAUACUCCAUCUAUAAUUCAUAUUAUGAACGAACAAUUCAUACUGCAAUUUGCAUUUUGGGUCAUCAAGGCAUAAUCCAUAUCCUAUGCUUUUCCAGCAUACCAUAUAACAAUUUUAUUU
rnacentral:lncRNA from 1 species